rnacentral:rRNA from 1 species
CGGAUCGGAGUCUGCAACCCGACUCCGUGAAGCUGGAUUCGCUAGUAAUCGCGCAUCAGCCAUGGCGCGGUGAAUACGUUCCCGGGCCUUGUACACACCGCCCGUCACACCAUGAGAGUUGGCAAUACCCAACGUACGUGAUCUAACCCGCAAGGGAGGAAGCGUCCUAAGGUAGGGUCAGCGAUUGGGGUGAAGUCGUAACAAGGUAGC